rnacentral:rRNA from 1 species
CAGCCGCCACGGUAAUACAGAGGAUGCAAGCGUUAUCCGGAAUGAUUGGGUGUAAAGCGUCUGUAGGUGGCCUUUCAAGUCCGCCGUCAAAUCCCAGGGCUCAACCCUGGACAGGCGGUGGAAACUACCAAGCUGGAGUACGGUAGGGGCAGAGGGAAUUUCCGGUGGAGCGGCGAAAUGCGUUGAGAUCGGAAAGGACACCAACGGCGAAAGCACUCUGCUGGGCCGACACUGACACUGAGAGACGAAAGCUAGGGGAGCAAAUGGGAUUAGAGACCCCCGUAGUCCCUGUCUCUUAUAC